UUGACUUCGUUAUGUUAGGCCGGACCGGUCCGGUCUGAUUUGAACCGGAGAGGGUGGUUAUGUGGAUUUUAAUGUCUUUGGCCUUUUGGUUGAAUCAAUUUUUGAAAAACCCUCGCUUAUUCUACUAACCCUUUUCUUCCUAACCUAUUUGAAAUACAAUUUUACCCUUCUCUUUUACUUUUUUUAAUUUUUUAUUUAUUUUUUACUACCAAAUAAUUUAUUAAAAUCAACCAAUCAUACGCAUUCUCUCUCUUAUCUCAUUAAUCACUUAAAUCUACAAAAAAAGGCUGGACAACUGAAACCAAUAGGCACAACUAUGUUGAUGGACUUCUACGAAAACAUAUAAUUACAUACUGUUUUUUUUUUUCUUUUUGAUUUUCAAGUUAUAGUCAAAAAGACUUCAGUCAUACGCAUUGCUUAUAAUGGAUACUAUUAAAUUUUUUUGUCGUAUUUAUACAAAUUAAUAUGUUUUGUAUUGGUACAACUAAGUACAACCCGCACAACUAAGAUCUAUUCACUUUGCUAGUUUUCAGAAUAUUAUAAAAUAUGAAAAUUUAAAACAAAACUAAGAAAACUUAAAUAAUGCAUACACAAUGGUAAUGAAAUUACAUAAUUAGUUUUUGACAAAAAUCAUAUUUUCUAAAUUAAUGAAACUCUUAUCACAAAAUCUAACAUUCAUACACUAACAACCUUAUACUUUCAUGGUUACUUUGUAUAUUUUAACAAAACAAAUUAAAAAUUUUAAACACUUGUAUUUAGAUAAAUAUAAAUACACCGAUACAAAGUAAUGGUAUUUUGAUGGGGGAAUACCAUAUGUUCCACCCAUAAAAAUUAGUUUUGAGUUGAUAACAACUAGAUUUAUUAUAUUCUCGAUAUUGUACAACUAUGAGCAAAAAUGUGCAACCGAGUACAACUGUACAACUAUGGGCAAUAUAUUUUUCAGAUAUUUAUAGAUAUUUUUUAAAUAUUUGUAGAUAAUUUAUAAUAAAAAUUAGCUUUAUUUUUUUGUGAUAAAAAUGUUUAGUUUUUUUUUUGUCAUCAAAAAUACUUAAUUUUAUAGUUAAAUAAACUAUUUUUUUCCCUUUCAAACUUUUUUUU
rnacentral:sRNA from 1 species